rnacentral:rRNA from 1 species
UGCAAGUCGAGCGGUAGGAGGGAGCUUGCUCCCUGAAGUCAACGGCGGACGGGUGAGUAACACGUGGGCAACCUGCCUGUAAGACUGGGAUAACUCCGGGAAACCGGGGCUAAUACCGGAUAACUCUUUUCCUCACAUGAGGAAAAGCUGAAAGAUGGUUUCGGCUAUCACUUACAGAUGGGCCCGCGGCGCAUUAGCUAGUUGGUGAGGUAACGGCUCACCAAGGCCACGAUGCGUAGCCGACCUGAGAGGGUGAUCGGCCACACUGGGACUGAGACACGGCCCAGACUCCUACGGGAGGCAGCAGUAGGGAAUCUUCCGCAAUGGACGAAAGUCUGACGGAGCAACGCCGCGUGAGUGAUGAAGGUUUUCGGAUCGUAAAACUCUGUUGUCAGGGAAGAACAAGUACCGGAGUAACUGCCGGUACCUUGACGGUACCUGACCAGAAAGCCACGGCUAACUACGUGCCAGCAGCCGCGGUAAUACGUAGGUGGCAAGCGUUGUCCGGAAUUAUUGGGCGUAAAGCGCGCGCAGGCGGUUCCUUAUGUCUGAUGUGAAAGCCCCCGGCUCAACCGGGGAGGGUCAUUGGAAACUGGGGAACUUGAGUGCAGAAGAGAAGAGUGGAAUUCCACGUGUAGCGGUGAAAUGCGUAGAGAUGUGGAGGAACACCAGUGGCGAACGCGACUCUUUGGUCUGUAACUGACGCUGAGGCGCGAAAGCGUAGCGGAGCAAACAGGAUUAGCAUACCGCUGGUAGUCCACGCCGUAACGAUGACUGCUU